rnacentral:lncRNA from 1 species
UUAUAAUAAUCUUUGGUAUGCUUGACCAGUGUUAAAAUUAACAGAUGGUUAUUGUACCAAAAGGGAGUAUUUUAAGCAAAUAAUUCCACUUAAAAAUAUUUUAAAACCCACAUUUUUCAGUUUAUACUGUUGGAGGUUAUAGUGGCAUGUUUGAUUAAUGAGCUGUUUUAUUGGUGAUGCAAAUAAUAUGUAAUGUCAUAAGACCCAUAUGUUGUAGAUUAGAGAGGUAUUAAACUUACCUUGGCACAAAGUGGAAUAUCUAAAAUAUCCCUCUGGUAAAAUAUAUCAUUCUAGAGGAACAAGAUAUGUUGGCAUUGCUUGUAUUUACAUUUUGACAAAUUACACAUCAUGUUUACUUAGCUUUAGUAUCCAAUCAAAAACUAUUCUUCCUCAUACUUUUGCUUUCUCUUUAUUUUUCAGGUUCCUCGUGCAAAUUCUGUUUGUGGUGGUCAGCAACUGUAUCUGAUAGCAGACUGCAUGUUACCUGACAGUUAUAAACAGAGACAUGAAGGAAGACAACAGUGUCAACAAUCCUGUUAUUUAUUGCCUUUUAUCUGGAAUGGUGCAAACAACAACAGAAUUAGGAAGGCAUGUGCAUGCAGGCCUCACCAUGUGAAGGAUCCUCAGCAAAACUCCAAACCACACAGAGAAAAUUCACUUGGCUCCAUGUUGCAUAGGAAACCUGAAUCACAGGUCACUGAUGAAGAGAGAGGAGAAAAGUGAUUGAAAAACACAUUCAGAAGCUGUCUACUCUUUCUAAGAACUGCAGCAACAUUACAGAGAGAGUAAGUGAUAUUCUUGGAUGAACAAUUUGAUCAGAGAAUAACAGUAAUGUUUUUCACAUUGACUCCUGUUCUUUAAUUGUAUUACAUCGGAUUAAAAAAAAAGAUUUUUGGAAGCAAACCGAGACAAUACAAAUAUGAAUGUUUUCAUCCUUGUGUCAUAUUAUACUAAAAACAAACCACAUGUUUUCUCCAAGAAUCAGAAUCAAGCAUGGACAUUUUUUCUUCUGAGUAUGGAAAUACUUUUGUCACACAGCCCCUCCCAUUCUGCUAUUAGCUAUAUUCACUGUAGUCUAUGAUUAAUGAGGCCUUGUGAUACCCAUUUUAACAAGGAAACAGGCCUGAGUAGGCUGUGAGGCUGUAUGCCAGUGAAGGUGAGAACCUGGGAAUCUUUGUUCAUGGCUUCCUCUAAAUAUUGACAGCAUCUUCCUGACUAGAGCUUGAUUUA